rnacentral:piRNA from 2 species
GAACCGGCCCAGGUCGGAAACGGAGC